rnacentral:rRNA from 1 species
GACGAACGCUGGCGGCGUGCUUAACACAUGCAAGUCGAACGGAAAGGCCCUGCUUUUGUGGGGUGCUCGAGUGGCGAACGGGUGAGUAACACGUGAGUAUCCUGCCCUUGACUUUGGGAUAACUUCAGGAAACUGGGGCUAAUACCGGAUAGGAGCUCUUGCUGCAUGGUGGGGGUUGGAAAGUUUCGGCGGUUGGGGAUAGACUCGCGGCUUAUCCGCUUGUUGGUGGGGUAGUGGCUUACCAAGGUUUUGACGGGUAGCCGGCCUGAGAGGUUGACCGGCCACAUGGGGACUGCGGGACGGAGCAGACUGCUACGGGAGGCAGCAGUGGGGAAUAUGGCACAAUGGGCGGAAGCCUGAUGCGGAAACGCCGCGUGCGGGAUGACGGCCUUCGGGUUGUAAACCGCUUUCGCCUGUGACGAAGCGUGAGUGACGGUAAUGGGUAAAGAAGCACCGGCUAACUACGUG